rnacentral:rRNA from 1 species
UUUUAAAUUGAGAGUUUGAUCCUGGCUCAGGACGAACGCUGGCGGCGUGCUUAACACAUGCAAGUCGAGCGAUGAAGCUUCCUUUGGGAAGUGGAUUAGCGGCGG